rnacentral:rRNA from 1 species
CAGUCGCCGCGGGAAUACCGAGGGUGCAAGCGUUAAUCGGAAUUACUGGGCGUAAAGCGCGCGUAGGUGGUUUGUUAAGUUGGAUGUGAAAGCCCCGGGCUCAACCUGGGAACUGCAUCCAAAACUGGCAAGCUAGAGUACGGUAGAGGGUGGUGGAAUUUCCUGUGUAGCGGUGAAAUGCGUAGAUAUAGGAAGGAACACCAGUGGCGAAGGCGACCACCUGGACUGAUACUGACACUGAGGUGCGAAAGCGUGGGGAGCAAACAGGAUUAGAUACCCGUGUAGUCCCUGUCUCUUAUAC